ACACCUCAACUCUUCAUGGCUUGCCAUGAUGAGCUUGGACUUUGGGGGUCUUGCUGGCCUGCAGUCAGCUCCUCUCAAAUGAAUCAGCUUGCCAGUGUUUGGUGGCACCACAGGUGUGAUAAACAUCUACUCUUGUGGUCCUCCGCCAUGUAACCUUCAGUGAUGGAGGUUCACUGGAGCUUAUAAAUGUCUCUCCUCAGCAAAGACAGCUUUUUGACC
rnacentral:misc_RNA from 1 species